UGCUGUACCACGCGUUCUCUC
rnacentral:miRNA from 1 species